CACGAACCGUACGAACGUUAUUCGGAAUCACUGGGCUUAAAGAGUCCGUAGGCGGUCUGGUAGGUGAGGUGUGAAAUCCCACGGCUCAACCGUGGAAUUGCGCUUCAAACCACCAGACUAGAGGGAGAUAGAGGAGAGCGGAACUGAUGGUGGAGCGGUGAAAUGCGUUGAUAUCAUCAGGAACACCGGUGGCGAAAGCGGCUCUCUGGGUCUCUUCUGACGCUGAGGGACGAAAGCUAGGGGAGCGAACGGG
rnacentral:rRNA from 1 species